GAUGAACGCUGGCGGCGUGCCUAAUACAUGCAAGUCGAGCGAACGGACGAGAAGCUUGCUUCUCUGAUGUUAGCGGCGGACGGGUGAGUAACACGUGGAUAACCUACCUAUAAGACUGGGAUAACUUCGGGAAACCGGAGCUAAUACCGGAUGAUAUUUUGAACCGCAUGGUUCAAAAGUGAAAGACGGUCUUGCUGUCACUUAUAGAUGGAUCCGCGCUGCAUUAGCUAGUUGGUAAGGUAACGGCUUACCAAGGCAACGAUGCAUAGCCGACCUGAGAGGGUGAUAGGCCACACUGGAACUGAGACACGGUCCAGACUCCUAAGGGAGGCAGCAGUAGGGAAUCUUCCGCAAUGGGCGAAAGCAUGACGGAGCAACGCCGCGUGAGUGAUGAAGGUCUUCGGAUCGUAAAACUCUGUUAUUAGGGAAGAACAUAUGUGUAAGUAACUGUGCACAUCUUGACGGUACCUAAUCAGAAAGCCACGGCUAACUACGUG
rnacentral:rRNA from 1 species